UUCCAGGGGGAAUGGUUCGUUCUGGGCCUGGUGGGCAACAGCUUCAGGCCGGAGCACAGGGUGCUGCUGAACGCUUUCGCCGCAACUUUCGAGCUAAGUGACGAUGGCCGCUUUGAGGUGUGGAAUGCCAUGACUCGUGGCGCACACAUGUAAUCCCAGUACUUCAGGAGGCAGAGGCAGAAGGAUCACUUGAACUCAGGAGUUUGAGACCAGCCUGAGCAACAUAGUUAGACACCAUCUCCACUCAUGACGCUUGGCCACUCCCGCCGUGGGUCCCUCUGAAUAAGCGGCUGAAAUCUCCUGAGGGGCCCACCUCGGCAUGGACCUGCCAGCUACCGGAGCCUUCCGCCUCCACCUGUCCCCUCCUACAGAGGCCAGCACUGUGACACAUGGUCUUAUGUGCUGAUACCGGCAGCCCAGCACGGGCAGUUCACUGUGGACCACGGUGUGGGCAGGAGCUGGUUGCUGCCUCCCGGGACGCUGGACCAGUUCAUCUGCCUGGGCAGAGCUCAGGGCCUCUCGGAUGACAACAUUGUCUUCCCAGAUGUGACUG
rnacentral:sRNA from 1 species